rnacentral:rRNA from 1 species
UACAAUGGCGUAAACAGAGGGAAGCGAAGCGGUGACGUGGAGCGAAUCCCAAAAAUAAACGUCCCAGUUCGGAUUGUAGUCUGCAACCCGACUACAUGAAGCUGGAAUCGCUAGUAAUCGCGGAUCAGAAUGCCGCGGUGAAUACGUUCCCGGGUCUUGUACACACCGCCCGUCACACCAUGGGAGUCGGUAACGCCCGAAGUCAGUGACCCAACCGAAAGGAGGGAGCUGCCGAAGGCGGGACUGGUAACUGGGGUGAAGUCGUAACAAGGUAAC